CCUUCGAUAGCUCAGUUGGAAGAGCGUGGGACUGUAAUGGUUGACCUGCCUAAUCCGGCAAAUUGACAUCCCAAGGUCACUGGUUCGACCCCGGUUCGAAGGA